rnacentral:rRNA from 1 species
CACGUAGGGGGCAAGCGUUGUCCGGAUUUAUUGGGCGUAAAGAGCUCGUAGGCGGCUUAGUAAGUCGGGUGUGAAACCUCCAGGCUCAACCUGGAGACGCCACCCGAUACUGCUGUGGCUAGAGUCCGGUAGGGGAGCGUGGAAUUCCUGGUGUAGCGGUGAAAUGCGCAGAUAUCAGGAGGAACACCAGCGGCGAAGGCGCUGCUCUGGGCCGGUACUGACGCUGAGGAGCGAAAGCGUGGGGAGCGAACAGG